rnacentral:rRNA from 1 species
UAGCAAUAGCUUAAAACUCAAAGGACUUGGCGGUGCUUCAUACCCCUCUAGAGGAGCCUGUUCUAUAAUCGAUAAACCCCGAUAAACCUCACCAAUUCUUGCCAACACAGUCUAUAUACCGCCAUCUUCAGCAAACCCUAAAAAGGAACAAAAGUAAGCGCAAUCAUAGUACAUAAAAAAGUUAGGUCAAGGUGUAACCUAUGAAAUGGGAAGAAAUGGGCUACAUUUUCUUAAAUCAAGAA